rnacentral:rRNA from 1 species
AUGAAGCUCCAGAUCAUUCCGGUGACGGCCAGCGGAGCUGCGCCCGAUCCCUUCGAGCUCGAGAUCAGCGAGGCCUCCCAGGUUGGGCAACUGAAACAGUCCAUUGAAGCGAUGAUGGGGAACCAGUUGUGGAAAGUGUCAACGAUGGGGAUCUUUCACAGGGAUAGGGAGCUUCAGGAUACUUCAACCUUACUUGAGUAUGCCAUCAAUGAAAUGGAUCCGGUCACUGUAGUUUCGUGUGAGGUCAACAAUCGGGUGAACUUUCCUACUGGUGAUGAAGAUCUGUUUGCCAACGUUGAUCCAUCCACUGAUGUGUUCUUCACCAUUGAUGAGCUACUGGGGCUACAGAAUGAAGCACUUGAUGUUAAGAUGAUAUUGCCCUACAAUUUUCAAGCAACUACUGAAUUGCACAACUUCACGACUCACCACAUUAAAACUGCUGGCCAAUUGCGGGACAAAGUUGAUAAUAGCCCACCAAGUUGGCUUUCGAAGCCUGAGGCAUUCGCAAUCCUAUCAAAUGCUAAUACGUUUGUUGCUGAGAAUGUUCAUGAGUAUGACAACCGGAGGAAUGGUGGUGUUGCUCUGGUGAGAUCAGCUAAUUAUGGAGAGUUCCUCCGCCAAGGUCCGGGCUAUAAGCAUUCUCUUCAAGAAACUACGAGGACUGUCACGAUAGAGAAACCUGCUGCAAAAUGGAAGAUAGCAGGAGAGAUCUUUAUGGACCGUUACGAGAUUAUGGGCGAUCUUUGGAACCGCAGGCGUGUUCACCUGGCAAAUGAUGAUACUUUUAGUUUGAUUCAAUGGAUGACAGCAAACCCUAAGCAAAAGGAUACCAUGAAAGAAGAACUUUCUAAUGUUGUGAAAGCAGUGAGUGAGAUGACAGGUCAACUGAAUGCUGUUGCGGGCGAUGUAACCUGUCUGAAAAGCGGGCUUACGGACGUCAAGACUGAUCUAACAUCAAUGAAGCAGAGUCUAACGGACAUCCAGAUGAGUCUUGCUGCUCUUGUGCACCGGCUUCCUCCUCAAGGUUCUUGA